AUGCUGUGGUCUCUUGCCUUCCUCCUAGCUUUCUUAGCUCCUGGAAGUCAGAAAGCUUCCAACAUGGAAAUGAAACAGAAGUUAAUCAUCAGGCCAACGAAGGCAUCUGUCAUAAUCUCCUGUGAUCUUCUUGGUCACAACAUCAACUACAUCCACUGGUACCGAUACCAAGAAGGACGAGCCCUGCAACGUCUCCUUUACUACAACUUCCCUGAUUCAAAGGUGGUGUUGGACUCAGGGUUCACUUUAGGGAAAUACAAUGCUUAUGAAGGUACAGGGAGGAGCUGUAAAUUUGUGUUCAACUAUCUGGAAAAAAGUGAUUCUGGUGUAUAUUACUGUGCCACCUGGGACUUAACACGGUGAUUCAGACUUCCCUUGUCCCACACUUAAAAUUUUUGUUUGUGGCUGCCAACAGUCUUGGUACAUAAGACAGACCAGCUCUUGUCUCUUCACUUCCUUCCCCUAACUUCACUGUAUUCUUAACUAUGAGAAACUCUGAGCUCAACAACUACCCCUCAGCCUUCCUUCUUCCAAGCAGCUAG